UAGUAUACCAGGACGCCACCCAGGACACAAACACUUUGGUGGAAAGCUGCUGCCAUCCCAUGUGACAAAAGCAGCAGUGUGGUGUCUCUACAAGGAAUCGAUGACAGCACUUGAGGUACGUGUAAUCGGGCUGUGUGUUAUCGUUUUAACUUCCAGUUUCCAAGAUUAUGUUUCUGUAUGCAGUGCUGCUACUCUGCACAUUUGUAGGUGCACUAUCCUUCUGACCCCAUGCAGCCAGGUCGCAUCUACUUUUUAACUCCUCGCAAGUGUGGCUUGUUUGGUGUCUGCUGUGAAGGAAUAUCACAACAAGUCAACUACUUGAUUGAUGAAGGCAUGUCAUCCAGCAAAGGCAGGAGCACAGUCACCAGCUACAUGCAUCAUUUCUUCAACUACGGAGUUUGGGAAACACAUGUGGACCUGAAUUGUGAUAACUGCAGUGGCCAAAAGAAGAACAAGUUUGUUCUCUGGUAUUGUGCCUGGCGGACUAUGCACAAGCUCCACCAGAAUCUGAACCUUCACUUUUUGAUCACAGGCCACACCAAGUGCUUUGGCCUCAUCAAACAGCGCUUCAGAAAGACCAGAGUAAACACCUUGUCUGAGAUUGCUGGUGUUGUGAAUGACAACAAGGGUCAACAUCCCACAGCUGGUUGGACUGGAGGAAUGGUAGUGUGCUGGUGGAAAGCUAUGGCUGGCAAAAACACCUGACUUACUUCAGGCUGCUGCCACAGUUCAGGCAGUUCCAGCACUUUAUUGUAUGAGAUUAUUAUUCUUCUCAUCUAAACUUGGGAGGUGAAUUGAAGUUGUGCAAGGUUAUAAUGUCUUGACAAUUUUUGGGGUUAUUUCCUGUUUUACAGCUUCCAUCCUCUGGAGCCUGGUGUUGUUGUCGCAAAGGAGUGUUUGGACUCAGUCGGGACCAGGUUUCAGCUGCUGCGCAACGCUGACAUUCUUCCUCCCAUAGAUGGUCUGCCUGUACAAGCACCACCUGGACUGGACACAGCUAGACAAACUUAUGUUUUGGAGAAGAUCAGGGAGUUUUGCGACGAAGAGGCUAUGGACAUCACAUGCCCUGCACCAAAGUCAAGGGCAGGACAGAAACAUGCUCUCCGAAUAUAGAUUCCCUUGUUCAUGCGUGGUUUGGACGGACCAGUCACCUGCACCGCCUCUAUUCAAAUGACUCUCUCCUAACACACACACACCAAUACGUUGCUGCUAAUGUACAAUUUUCUUUUAUCCUGCUGUUCAGCCACUUUACCCCUGAUUGUAUUCAUAUUACCUCAUCUAUCAAUGAUAUUGUUCUUGUACAUACUGUAUAUUAUUUUAUUUAUAUUGACACUAUUUCUUAUAUUGCUACUAUGCAAGUAACAAUUUGGCUGUACCGUUUACACCUUCUGUAGAGAACAUACACUUGGCAAGAUGUACCUGAUUGUGUUUUUUUUGGUUCAUAUCUUAUUUUUUAAACUUAUUUUGUACAUAAUGUUGCUGCUGCUGCCAUCUCUUAUGGCCGAAAAUAACUUCUGGACAUCAGGACUGCGAUUACUCUCCACGGACUGGCAGAAUUGUUUUUUCCCCUUUAAUGACUCUGAGGAGGCCAACGCGAACGACAUACUGCUUUCUCGGGAACAGGCCCAGAUCCCCGUGAUUUGAGUGAAGAGGAGGUGGAGAAAAAGGGGCCGGAGGGCGGGCUGCCUUCUGAGAAUUGGUAGGUGAUCAAAUAAACCCCCACUUACUUCCAUUCUGCUAGCAAACGUGCAAUCUUUGGACAAUAAAAUAGAU